rnacentral:rRNA from 1 species
CACGGGUGAGUAACACGUAUCCAACCUGCCGUCUACUCUUGGACAGCCUUCUGAAAGGAAGAUUAAUACAAGAUGGCAUCAUGAGUCCGCAUGUUCACAUGAUUAAAGGUAUUCCGGUAGACGAUGGGGAUGCGUUCCAUUAGAUAGUAGGCGGGGUAACGGCCCACCUAGUCUUCGAUGGAUAGGGGUUCUGAGAGGAAGGUCCCCCACAUUGGAACUGAAACACGGUCCAA